rnacentral:rRNA from 1 species
AGGGUGUAAACGCUGCAGACUUGGUGUUGGGAACCCUUCGGGGGUGUCCAGUGCCGGAGAGAAGUUGUUAAGUCUGCUACUUGGGGAGUACGUCCGCAAGGAUGAAACUUAAAGGAAUUGGCGGGGGAGCACCGCAACGGGAGGAGCGUGCGGUUUAAUUGGAUUCAACACCGGGAAGCUCACCGGAUAAGACAGCGGAAUGAUUGCCGGGCUGAAGACUCUGCAUGACUAGCUGAGAGGAGGUGCAUGGCGUAGACGUCU